GGAUCUCCUCCGUGGAAAUCUUGAAAAUGUCUUGAAAGAUUAUGGGUUUGAAGUCCCUUUCUAAUGUUUCUGAUGUGUUCCGCCAUCCUUAUCUUCAGUGCCCUUUUUGUUCGUCCUAUAUACUGUUUUGAACACGGGCAUGUAAUAAGGUAAAUUACCCCUUUUGUAUCGCAAUUCAUAUUGGUCUUGAUGUCAAAUUCUUCCAUACCAUCCAUAGAUGUGAAUCUAGUGAUUUCAAAAUCUAGAAGGGGAUUAUUCAUGCACGCAACACAUUUCCUGCAUCGUUUAAAACUUUUAAUAGUGGUUUUAUCCUGUUGGACAUUCUGCUGUUUGAAGGUUGG